rnacentral:rRNA from 1 species
AUUGAACGCUGGCGGCAGGCCUAACACAUGCAAGUCGAGCGGAUGACAGGAGCUUGCUCCUUGAUUCAGCGGCGGACGGGUGAGUAAUGCCUAGGAAUCUGCCUGGUAGUGGGGACAGCGUUUCGAAAGGAACGCUAAUACCGCAUACGUCCUACGGGAGAAAGCAGGGGACCUUCGGGCCUUGCGCUAUCAGAUGAGCCUAGGUCGGAUUAGCUAGUUGGUGGGGUAAUGGCUCACCAAGGCGACGAUCCGUAACUGGUCUGAGAGGAUGAUCAGUCACACUGGAACUGAGACACGGUCCAGACUCCUACGGGAGGCAGCAGUGGGGAAUAUUGGACAAUGGGCGAAAGCCUGAUCCAGCCAUGCCGCGUGUGUGAAGAAGGUCUUCGGAUUGUAAAGCACUUUAAGUUGGGAGGAAGGGCAGUAAGUUAAUACCUUGCUGUUUUGACGUUACCGACAGAAUAAGCACCGGCUAACUCUGUGCCAGCCGCCGCAGUAAAAC